GACGAACGCUGGCGGCGUGCUUAACACAUGCAAGUCGAACGGUAAGGCCCUUCGGGGUACACGAGUGGCGAACGGGUGAGUAACACGUGGGUGAUCUGCCCUGCACUUCGGGAUAAGCCUGGGAAACUGGGUCUAAUACCGGAUAGGACCACUGCCUGCAUGGGUGGUGGUGGAAAGCUUUUGCGGUGUGGGAUGGGCCCGCGGCCUGUCAGCUUGUUGGUGGGGUGAUGGCCUACCAAGGCGACGACGGGUAGCCGGCCUGAGAGGGUGACCGGCCACACUGGGACUGAGAUACGGCCCAGACUCCUACGGGAGGCAGCAGUGGGGAAUAUUGCACAAUGGGCGCAAGCCUGAUGCAGCGACGCCGCGUGAGGGAUGACGGCCUUCGGGUUGUAAACCUCUUUCAGCACCGACGAAGCGCAAGUGACGGUAGGUGCAGAAGAAGGACCGGCCAACUACGUGCCAGCAGCCGUAGUAA
rnacentral:rRNA from 1 species